UGCAAGUCGAGCGGCAGCACGGGAGCUUGCUCCUGGUGGCGAGCGGCGGACGGGUGAGUAAUGCCUAGGAAUCUGCCUGGUAGUGGGGGAUAACAACCGGAAACGGUUGCUAAUACCGCAUACGUCCUACGGGAGAAAGUGGGGGAUCUUCGGACCUCACGCUAUCAGAUGAGCCUAGGUCGGAUUAGCUAGUUGGUGGGGUAAAGGCCCACCAAGGCGACGAUCCGUAACUGGUCUGAGAGGAUGAUCAGUCACACUGGAACUGAGACACGGUCCAGACUCCUACGGGAGGCAGCAGUGGGGAAUAUUGGACAAUGGGCGAAAGCCUGAUCCAGCCAUGCCGCGUGUGUGAAGAAGGUCUUCGGAUUGUAAAGCACUUUAAGUUGGGAGGAAGGGUCGUUACCUAAUACGUGACUGGCUUUGACGUUACCGACAGA
rnacentral:rRNA from 1 species